AUACGUAGGGGGCGAGCGUUGUCCGGAAUGAUUGGGCGUAAAGGGCGCGUAGGCGGCCUGUUAAGUCUGGAGUGAAAGUCCUGUUUUCAAGAUGGGAAUUGCUUUGGAUACUGAUGGGCUUGAGUGCGGGAGAGGUUAUCGGAAUUCCCGGUGGAGCGGCGAAAUGCGUAGAGAUCGGGAGGAACACCAGUGGCGAAGGCGGGUAACUGGACUGCAACUGACGCUGAGGCGCGAAAGUGUGGGGAGCAAACAGGAUUAGAUACCCUGGUAGUCCACACUGUAAACGAUGAAUGCUAGGUGUAAGAGGUAUCGACCCCUUUUGUGCCGGAGUUAACACAAUAAGCAUUCCGCCUGGGGAGUACGGCCGCAAGGUUGAAACUCAAAUGAAUUGACGGGG
rnacentral:rRNA from 1 species